rnacentral:lncRNA from 1 species
UUUGACGAGCAUGCGAACUUGGGCUCUAGCCAUUUGGGUUCUUGUGGUGCGGAUUGGCUGCAGUAGGUUCAUUUUAGAAUAGGGUUGCAUCUAGAUGAGUUCCGUCGACCUUAAUAGAUUAGGAGUAAUCCUAUGUGAUUUAUGAGACUACGUUUGAUAAAUUUCUUGCCAGGCAUUUUAGAAAAAGCAUUUUUCAUAUCUCGAACUGGAAGUCGAAUAAAUUUGACAUAUGACGGACAAUGAGAUUUGACGAGUUAUCCAUAACCUCCGUCAU